AUACGGAGGGUGCAAGCGUUCAUCGGAAUUACUGGGCGUAAAGGGCGCGUAGGCGGUCUAUCAAGUCAGGUGUGAAAUCCCACGGCUCAACCGUGGAGGUGCAUCUGAAACUGAUAGACUUGAGUAUGGGAGAGGAAAGUGGAAUUCCCGGUGUAGAGGUGAAAUUCGUAGAUAUCGGGAGGAACACCAGUGGCGAAGGCGACUUUCUGGACCAAUACUGACGCUGAGGCGCGAAAGCGUGGGGAGCAAACAGGAUUAGAUACCCUAGUAGUCC
rnacentral:rRNA from 1 species